UUUCCGUAGGUGAACCUGCGGAAGGAUCAUUACAGAGUUCCUGCCCUUUGGGUAGAUCUCCCACCCUUGUGUAUUUAUACUUUGUUGCUUUGGCGAGCCGCACGGCUUGCUGUGCCUUGGGCUUUCGAGCCUGAGUGUGCUCGCCAGAGGAAAUCAAAAUUCUGUUUAUUAUUGUCGUCUGAGUACUAUAUUAAUAGUUAAAACUUUCAACAACGGAUCUCUUGGUUCUCGCAUCGAUGAAGAACGCAGC
rnacentral:misc_RNA from 1 species